rnacentral:rRNA from 1 species
UACAGAGGUCUCAAGCGUUGUUCGGAUUCAUUGGGCGUAAAGGGUGCGUAGGUGGCGCGCUAAGUCAGGUGUGAAAUCUCGGGGCUUAACUCCGAAACUGCAUUUGAUACUGGCGUGCUUGAGGACUGGAGAGGAGACUGGAAUUCAUGGUGUAGCAGUGAAAUGCGUAGAGAUCAUGAGGAAGACCAGUGGCGAAGGCGGGUCUCUGGACAGUUCCUGACACUGAGGCACGAAGGCCAGGGGAGCGAACAGG